rnacentral:rRNA from 1 species
GCAAGUCGAACGGUAACAUGAGAGCUUGCCCUUGAUGACGAGUGGCGCACGGGUGCGUAACGCGUAUGCAACCUACCCUUUACUGGGGGAUAGCACGGAGAAAUUCGGCUUAAUACCCCAUGGUAUCCUAAUGCCCGCAUGGGCUGUUAGGAUUAAAGAUUUAUUGGUAAAGGAUGGGCAUGCGUGACAUUAGUUAGUUGGUGAGGUAACGGCUCACCAAGACGAUGAUGUCUAGGGGUUCUGAGAGGAAGAUC